UUAAGUUCAGCGGGUAUCCCUACCUGAUCCGAGGUCAACUGCGAGAAAUAUUCUAGUUGAGACCGUGCCCCGGGAAGGCGCAGACGCGUGCUGAAGAGCUCGCUGCAUCCAGUCCUCCCGGGACCCGUCACUACCUUUCGGGUCCACCGCCGUGGAGCGGUGGGAGACCCAAGGACAAGCCGUGCUUGAGGAUAGAUAAU
rnacentral:misc_RNA from 1 species